UCAUAACUGAAAUCCAAUCAUCAGGAAUCCCAGUGCAGCAGGAUGUUAGAGAAAAUAAACAACAGUCUCCUGAGAGGUUCUACCACUGCUUGACAAAUACAGAGGUUCAAUUCCACCAAACAUUGGUGAAUGAUGGCCCAAUCAGCCUGUACUUCCUUGCUCUCCUGCUGCAAUGUCAUCAACUUCUUCUUUAUAAGAUUCUCCUCCAUCAGGAGCCGGCUGUGCAGGUUACUGUAAGGACACUCUGCAUGAUGUGGCUCAAAGGGAAGAUGUGAGGACACCUUGGGUUCCUCUGAAUGGACAGAGUGAUAUGAAAUGGGCACUGACCAGGCUGAGAAACACUGCUGAGGCCCAUAUUCCAGGUAACAAGCACAUUCUCUGCCCUCCUUCCAAAGAACUCCUGUUGAGGCCAUGGACCUUGUCUACACAUGGGAACAUCAUGCAGACAUCUUUCCUAAUGAUACAAAGUUCUCUCUGGUAAGGCUUGCCCCUGACCAUAUCUGUAGCAAAUUUGUUACAAGGCAGCUGUCUAUAUCAUGCUGUUGCUGUAAUAUGCUUCCCAGUUGUGAUGGUUUGUAUACUCUUGCACCAGGGAGUGGCACCAUUUGGAGGUGUGGCCUUGUUGGAAUA